GGGUUGUGAGGUUAAGCGACUAAGCGUACACGGUGGAUGCCCUGGCAGUCAGAGGCGAUGAAGGACGUGCUAAUCUGCGAAAAGCGUCGGUAAGGUGAUAUGAACCGUUAUAACCGGCGAUGUCCGAAUGGGGAAACCCAGUGCAAUUCGUUGCACUAUCGUUAACUGAAUACAUAGGUUAACGAGGCGAACCGGGGGAACUGAAACAUCUAAGUACCCCGAGGAAAAGAAAUCAACCGAGAUUCCCCCAGUAGCGGCGAGCGAACGGGGAGCAGCCCAGAGUCUGAAUCAGCUUGUGUGUUAGUGGAACGGUCUGGAAAGUCCGACGGUACAGGGUGAUAGUCCCGUACACCAAAAUGCACAGGUUGUGAACUCGAAGAGUAGGGCGGGACACGUGGUAUCCUGUCUGAAUAUGGGGGGACCAUCCUCCAAGGCUAAAUACUCCUGACUGACCGAUAGUGAACCAGUACCGUGAGGGAAAGGCGAAAAGAACCCCGGCGAGGGGAGUGAAAAAGAACCUGAAACCGUGUACGUACAAGCAGUGGGAGCACCUUUAUGGUGUGACUGCGUACCUUUUGUAUAAUGGGUCAGCGACUUAUAUUCUGUAGCAAGGUUAACCGUAUAGGGGAGCCGCAGGGAAACCGAGUCUUAACUGGGCGUUAAGUUGCAGGGUAUAGACCCGAAACCCGGUGAUCUAGCCAUGGGCAGGUUGAAGGUUGGGUAACACUAACUGGAGGACCGAACCGACUAAUGUUGAAAAAUUAGCGGAUGACUUGUGGCUGGGGGUGAAAGGCCAAUCAAACCGGGAGAUAGCUGGUUCUCCCCGAAAGCUAUUUAGGUAGCGCCUCGUGAAUUCAUCUUCGGGGGUAGAGCACUGUUUCGGCUAGGGGGUCAUCCCGACUUACCAACCCGAUGCAAACUACGAAUACCGAAGAAUGUUAUCACGGGAGACACACGGCGGGUGCUAACGUCCGUCGUGAAGAGGGAAACAACCCAGACCGCCAGCUAAGGUCCCAAAGUCAUGGUUAAGUGGGAAACGAUGUGGGAAGGCACAGACAGCCAGGAUGUUGGCUUAGAAGCAGCCAUCAUUUAAAGAAAGCGUAAUAGCUCACUGGUCGAGUCGGCCUGCGCGGAAGAUGUAACGGGGCUAAACCAUGCACCGAAGCUGCGGCAGCGACACUAUGUGUUGUUGGGUAGGGGAGCGUUCUGUAAGCCUGCGAAGGUGGCCUGUGAGGGUUGCUGGAGGUAUCAGAAGUGCGAAUGCUGACAUAAGUAACGAUAAAGCGGGUGAAAAGCCCGCUCGCCGGAAGACCAAGGGUUCCUGUCCAACGUUAAUCGGGGCAGGGUGAGUCGACCCCUAAGGCGAGGCCGAAAGGCGUAGUCGAUGGGAAACAGGUUAAUAUUCCUGUACUUGGUGUUACUGCGAAGGGGGGACGGAGAAGGCUAUGUUAGCCGGGCGACGGUUGUCCCGGUUUAAGCAUGUAGGCUGAUUAUCCAGGCAAAUCCGGAUAAUCAAGGCUGAGGUGUGAUGACGAGGCACUACGGUGCUGAAGUAACAAAUGCCCUGCUUCCAGGAAAAGCCUCUAAGCAUCAGGUAACAUCAAAUCGUACCCCAAACCGACACAGGUGGUCAGGUAGAGAAUACCAAGGCGCUUGAGAGAACUCGGGUGAAGGAACUAGGCAAAAUGGUGCCGUAACUUCGGGAGAAGGCACGCUGGUGUGUAGGUGAAGUCCCUGCGGAUGGAGCUGAGACCAGUCGAAGAUACCAGCUGGCUGCAACUGUUUAUUAAAAACACAGCACUGUGCAAACACGAAAGUGGACGUAUACGGUGUGACGCCUGCCCGGUGCCGGAAGGUUAAUUGAUGGGGUUAUCCGUAAGGAGAAGCUCUUGAUCGAAGCCCCGGUAAACGGCGGCCGUAACUAUAACGGUCCUAAGGUAGCGAAAUUCCUUGUCGGGUAAGUUCCGACCUGCACGAAUGGCGUAAUGAUGGCCAGGCUGUCUCCACCCGAGACUCAGUGAAAUUGAACUCGCUGUGAAGAUGCAGUGUACCCGCGGCAAGACGGAAAGACCCCGUGAACCUUUACUAUAGCUUGACACUGAACAUUGAGCCUUGAUGUGUAGGAUAGGUGGGAGGCUUUGAAGCGUGGACGCCAGUCUGCGUGGAGCCAACCUUGAAAUACCACCCUUUAAUGUUUGAUGUUCUAACGUUGGCCCCUUACCGGGGUUGCGGACAGUGUCUGGUGGGUAGUUUGACUGGGGCGGUCUCCUCCCAAAGCGUAACGGAGGAGCACGAAGGUUAGCUAAUCCUGGUCGGACAUCAGGAGGUUAGUGCAAUGGCAUAAGCUAGCUUGACUGCGAGCGUGACGGCGCGAGCAGGUGCGAAAGCAGGUCAUAGUGAUCCGGUGGUUCUGAAUGGAAGGGCCAUCGCUCAACGGAUAAAAGGUACUCCGGGGAUAACAGGCUGAUACCGCCCAAGAGUUCAUAUCGACGGCGGUGUUUGGCACCUCGAUGUCGGCUCAUCACAUCCUGGGGCUGAAGUAGGUCCCAAGGGUAUGGCUGUUCGCCAUUUAAAGUGGUACGCGAGCUGGGUUUAGAACGUCGUGAGACAGUUCGGUCCCUAUCUGCCGUGGGCGCUGGAGAAUUGAGGGGGGCUGCUCCUAGUACGAGAGGACCGGAGUGGACGCAUCACUGGUGUUCGGGUUGUCAUGCCAAUGGCACUGCCCGGUAGCUAAAUGCGGAAGAGAUAAGUGCUGAAAGCAUCUAAGCACGAAACUUGCCCCGAGAUGAGUUCUCCCUGAGACUUUAAGUCUCCUGAAGGAACGUUGAAGACGACGACGUUGAUAGGCCGGGUGUGUAAGCGCAGCGAUGCGUUGAGCUAACCGGUACUAAUGAACCGUGAGGCUUAACCUUACAACGCCGAAG
rnacentral:rRNA from 1 species